AUUGAACGCUGGCGGCAGGCCUAACACAUGCAAGUCGAGCGAGCGGCGGAAGGUGGAGUAAUGUAUGGGGACUCCCCGAUAGAGGGGGAUAACAACUGGAAACGGUGGCUAAUACCGCAUACUGUCUUGUAACCCAUAUGGGGUUAGCUCGUAGGUAAGGUAAUGGCUUACCUAGGCGACGAGCCCUAGCUGGUCUGAGAGGAUGGUCCGCCACACUGGGAAUUAGCAAAGGUCCAGACUCCUACGGAGGCAGCAGUUGGGGAUAUUUCACAAUGGGCGCAAGCCUGAUGCAGCCAUGCCGCGUGUAAGAAGAAGGCCCUAGGGUUGUAAAGUACUUUCAGUCGGAAGACGUUACCGGAAGAGAAAGCCACGGCUAACUACGUGCCAGCAGCCGCGGUAAUAC
rnacentral:rRNA from 1 species